GAUGACUCUCGACAACGGAUAUCUCGGCUCUCGCAUCGAUGAAGAACGUAGCGAAAUGCGAUACUUGGUGUGAAUUGCAGAAUCCCGUGAACCAUCGAGUCUUUGAACGCAAGUUGCGCCCGAAGCCAUCAGGCCGAGGGCACGUCUGCCUGGGUGUCACGC
rnacentral:rRNA from 1 species